AUGAGACUAAUGAACGAAGUUUUACGUGCUUUCAUUGGACGAUUUGUGGUAGUCUAUUUUGAUGAUAUACUGAUUUAUAGCAAAUCUUUGGAAGAACAUUUGGAACAUUUACGUGCUGUUUUUAUUGCUCUACGUGAUGCACGUUUGUUUGGUAACCUUGGGAAGUGCACCUUUUGCACCGACCGAGUAUCUUUUCUUGGCUAUGUUGUUACUCCACAGGGAAUUGAAGUUGAUAAAGCCAAGAUUGAAGCUAUUGAGAGUUGGCCGCAGCCCAAAACGGUCACACAAGUGAGGAGUUUCCUUGGCCUCGCUGGUUUCUAUAGGCGUUUUGUGAGAGAUUUCAGCACCAUUGCUGCACCUCUCAACGAGCUUACAAAGAAGGAUGUGCCUUUUGUUUGGGGUACCGCACAGGAAGAAGCCUUCACGGUAUUGAAAGAUAAGUUGACACAUGCUCCUUUACUCCAACUUCCUGAUUUUAAUAAGACUUUUGAGCUUGAAUGUGAUGCUAGUGGAAUUGGAUUAGGAGGUGUGUUAUUACAAGAUGGCAAACCUGUUGCAUACUUUUCUGAAAAAUUGAGUGGGCCUAGUCUGAAUUAUUCUACUUAUGAUAAAGAACUAUAUGCUCUUGUUCGGACUUUAGAAACAUGGCAACAUUAUUUAUGGCCCAAAGAAUUUGUUAUACAUUCUGAUCAUGAAUCUUUGAAACAUAUUAAAAGUCAAGCUAAACUGAAUCGUAGACAUGCUAAAUGGGUUGAAUUCAUUGAAACUUUCCCUUAUGUCAUUAAACACAAGAAGGGUAAAGAAAAUGUUAUUGCUGAUGCAUUGUCUCGUCGCUAUACUAUGCUUUCACAACUUGACUUCAAAAUAUUUGGUUUGGAGACCAUCAAAGAUCAAUAUGUGCAUGAUGCUGAUUUUAAAGAUGUAUUGCAGAAUUGUAAAGAAGGAAGAACCUGGAACAAGUUUGUCGUUAAUGAUGGAUUUGUGUUCCGUGCUAACAAGCUAUGCAUUCCAGCUAGCUCUCUUUGUCUUUUGUUGUUGCAGGAGGCGCAUGGAGGAGGAUUAAUGGGACACUUUGGCGUGAAGAAGACGGAGGACGUACUUGCUACACAUUUCUUUUGGCCAAAGAUGAGACGGGAUGUUGAGCGUUUUGUUGCUCGCUGCACUACAUGUCAAAAAGCUAAGUCACGACUCAAUCCUCAUGGUUUAUAUAUGCCUUUGCCUGUACCUAGUGUUCCUUGGGAGGAUAUAUCUAUGGACUUUGUUUUUGGUUUACCUCGAACAAAGAAGGGGAGGCAUAGCAUAUUUGUUGUCGUGGAUAGAUUCUCGAAAAUGACACACUUUAUACCAUGUCAUAAAAGCGAUGAUGCUGUUAAUGUUGCUGAUUUGUUCUUUCGUGAAAUUAUUCGCUUGCAUGGUGUGCCAAAUACUAUUGUUUUCGAUCGUGAUACUAAAUUUCUUAGCCACUUUUGGAGAUGUUUAUGGGCUACGUUGGGGACUAAACUGCUUUUUAGUACUACUUGUCACCCCCAAACUGAUGGACAAACUGAAGUAGUCAAUAGAACAUUGUCUACUAUGCUUAGGGCUGUUUUGAAGAAUAAUAAGAAAAUGUGGGAAGAAUGCUUGCCUCAUAUUGAGUUUGCUUAUAAUCGUUCAUUGCAUUCUACUACUAAGAUGUGCCCUUUUGAAAUUGUGUAUGGUUUCCUACCUCGUGCACCUAUUGAUUUGUUGCCUCUUCCAUCUUCGGAGAAGGUUAAUUUUGAUGCUAAAAAACGUGCUGAAUUGAUCUUAAAAAUGCAUGAGUUAACUAAGGAAAACAUUGAGCGUAUGAAUGCUAAAUAUAAACUUGCUGGAGAUAAGGGUAGAAAACAUGUUGUGUUUGCACCUGGAGAUCUUGUUUGGUUACAUUUGCGUCAGGAUAGAUUUCCUGAUUUGCGCAAAUCAAAGCUAAUGCCACGUGCUGAUGGUCCUUUUAAGGUGUUAGAGAAAAUAAAUGAUAAUGCAUAUAAACUUGAGCUGCCUGCAGAUUUUGGGGUUAGUCCCACUUUUAACAUUGCAGAUUUGAAGCCUUAUUUGGGUGAGGAAGAUGAGCUUCCGUCGAGGACGACUUCAUUUCAAGAAGGGGAGGAUGAUGAGGACAUCAAUACCAUUGUUACACCCACAGCCCCUGCUGCUAUACAUACGGGACCAAUUACUAGAGCUCGCGCACGCCAAUUAAAUUACUAG
rnacentral:rRNA from 1 species